GACGAACGCUGGCGGCGUGCUUAAGACAUGCAAGUCGUACGAGAAAGUCUCUUCGGAGAUGAGUAAAGUGGCGCACGGGUGAGUAACGCGUGGGUAAUCUGCCCUUAGGUUUGGGAUAACCCCGGGAAACCGGAGCUAAUACCGAAUGAGACCACGAUGACUUCGGUCGAUGUGGGAAAAGGUGGCCUCUUCUUGAAAGCUAUCGCCGAAGGAUAAGCCCGCGUUUGAUUAGCUAGUUGGUGGGGUAAUGGCUCACCAAGGCGACGAUCAAUAGCUGGUCUGAGAGGAUGAUCAGCCACACUGGAACUGAGACACGGUCCAGACUCCUACGGGAGGCAGCAGUCAGGAAUAUUGGGCAAUGGGCGAAAGCCUGACCCAGCAACGCCGCGUGAAGGAUGAAGGCCUUCGGUCGUAACGUUACUGUCGAGAGGGAAGAAUGUGUGCGGGUGAA
rnacentral:rRNA from 1 species